rnacentral:sRNA from 1 species
UCAAACAAAACAAAACAAAAAAAAAGUUAAGAUUUUUCUUUAAAAAAAUGAUUCAAUGGAAAUAGAAUGGAUUCUUCAAAUAACUUAGCCACGGGUGGGAUAAGGGACCUACUUAUAUGAACCCAGCAUCACAGUGCACUUGUGGCAGAUGGCAGUGCACACCCGGGAGCUACUCUCCUCCGGCCAGAUGCCCUUCUCCCAGCUGCCCGCCGUGUGGCAGCUCUACCCCGGGAGGAAGUACCGAGCAGCGGAUUCCAGUUUCUGGGAAAUAGCAGACCAUGGCCAGAUUGACUCUAUGGAGCAGCUGGUCCUAACAUAUCAGCCGGAGAGGAAAGACUGACACUGGGAGUGGCUGGUAUGUUGGGGCCCUGUGCG